rnacentral:lncRNA from 1 species
AGGGAUUGAGCAGUUUCAAAGAGGCAUCAAGAGCUCCAUCCUCCCUUGAAGAGUGAAGCAUCCUUGACAAAGAAGAGCAAAGCCACUUCAAAGCGAUAAAUACUUUCUAACUCUUCUUUGUAGUUCAUAUUGUUUUAUAUGCUCAUUUAGGAGUUUGAAUCUUUUCUUUUUAUUUGUUAAACACUUUGUAAAGGUUCGUUGGUGAGCCCGCAAAACCAACAUAGGUUUUUGGUGAGCCCGGAAAACCAAAGUGUAAAGGUUCGUUGGUGAGCCCGUAAAACCAACAUAGGUUCGUUGGUGAGCCCGUAAAACCAACAAAGGUUUUUGGUGAACCCGGAAAACCAAGUGUAUAGGUUCGUUGGUGAGCCCGCAAAACCAACAAAGGUUUUUGGAUUGUGAGCCCGGAAAACAAUCCAACUGUAAUCCGCGGGAUUAUAGUGAAUUCCCAAGGGGACGCUUGAGGAGUAGACGUAGGUGCUAAGGAGAGCACCGAACCACUAUAUAUUGUUGUGUUUGUGUUGUGCUUGUGCUUACGUUUAUUCUUGCAUCAUCUUCUAUCUUUGCACUAGUUUAAAUCAUUCAAAUAGUUUAAGGAAGCAUCCACCGCACUUAAUUAAGAAAACGAUUAAAGCACCAAAAUUUAGAAGAAACCAAUUCACCCCCCCUCUUGGCUUGUCACCUUGGGCAACAA